rnacentral:rRNA from 1 species
AACGUAGGGGGCGAGCGUUGCCCGGAUUCACUGGGCGUAAAGCGGGUGUAGGCGGUUCUUUAAGUCGGAUGUGAAAUCCUACGGCUCAACCGUGGAACUGCAUCCGAUACUGGGGAACUUGAGGACGGUAGAGGUCGGUGGAAUUCCAGGUGUACCGGUGAAAUGGGCAGAUAUCUGGAGGAACACCAGUGGCGAAGGCGGCCGACUGGGCCGAUCCUGACGCUGAGACCCGAAAGCCAGGGUAGCGAACCGG